rnacentral:lncRNA from 1 species
UUUUAUUGCUUAAUAAUUUAAUAUAUUUGUAACAGCCUAAUUUUGCUUGAUCCAAACAACAAACAAACAAAUAAAUAAACUCUAAAGCCCAAAUACACCAACCCAAUAACCCACAACCUAAACAAAAAAAGACAACCCUAAUUCCUCUAAGCCUCCCGCUGCCACCACUCCUUUGCCUUUGUCACGUCAACAGGCGCAUCGCCUGAGAUCUGCCCUCCUUUCAUCGAAACGGCAAGGCAUGGCUCCCC